GGUCUUCUGGUGUAAUGGUUAACACGGCCUCUCUUGUAGUAGGCGAAUCCAGGUUCGAAUCCUGGGGAGACGG
rnacentral:tRNA from 1 species